GGCGGACGGGUGAGUAAUGCGUAGGAAUUUACCUCAAAGCGGGGGAUAGCCCGGAGAAAUCCGGAUUAAUACCGCAUGUGCUCUACGGAGUAAAGCGGGCCUCUUCUUGAAAGCUCGCACUUUGAGAUAAGCCUACGUCGGAUUAGCUUGUUGGUAGGGUAAAAGCCUACCAAGGCGACGAUCCGUAGCUGGUUUGAGAGGAUGAUCAGCCACACUGGGACUGAGACACGGCCCAG
rnacentral:rRNA from 1 species